UUCGGGCCGAGACCCUUCAUCAGGACUGGGGGGGAAAACAUGAGACGUCCGAGGAAGAAGUGCGGGGGUGAAAAGGGUAGAGUAAGUGGUCGGUGAUAGGUGAAACUGCGAGAGGGGGAGUAGUGAAGGUGGAAAAAAACUUCUUAGGAUUUUAUUUCCUUAACGAUCCUCGAAAAAUCAUUGCUAAUGCCUCCACAUCUCUUCAGCCACCUCCUUCAGAUCUCUGGGGUGUAUAUCAUAUGGUAUAGGUGACCUGUUUACCUUCAGACCAUCUCUGUUUCCAAGAACCUUCUCCCGAGUAGCGUAACUUCACACAUUCUGACCACUGACAUCUGGUACUUCCGUAUUCCUGCCGGUGUCUUCGAGAGAUGAGUGAUGUACAAGACUUAUUCAGUUCAUCUGGCAUGACCUUGCACUCCGAGCCCAUUACUACCUCUCCAUCAUAAUUUUUCAGUGGUUCGUCAUCCGCUUCUCCCUUUCUUUUACACUAUAAUUACCUGAAGAAACAUUUGGUAUCCUCUUUAAUAUUACCGGCUAGCUCACUGAAGUGUUCCAUCUUUUCCUUCUUAAUUAUUUUAGUUGCAUUCUGUUGGUUUUUAAAAUCUUCUCAAUCCUUCAACAUACUAGUGAUUUUUGCUCUAUGCCCUCUCUUUGGUUUUUCUUAACAGCCACGGUUUUGUCACCUUAGCUUUAAAAUUCUACUUCCUCUUUGUGAUGCAUAGAAAUUUGAGGGGCGAAGAACAUCUCAGGCAGAACUGCAGUCAGCUCGACUUCUUCAGUCUGCAGGAAAUUCAAGGGGAACCUCUUCACCCACAGAGUGGUGACUGUUUGGAACUCAUUCACAUGGACAGUGAGAGGUGAACAACAGGGGAGGAUUUGAAAGAUCUGCUGUGGAACAGAAUCAUUGGCAAGGUCCAGCCGGCCUGAGGUCUAGUCCCAUUAAAGGUGACUAUGCAGCAGAAGAAACUCCUCACAUGCCUGGUGAGCAGCAGCAAUAAUUGCAGAGUUCAGCACCGACACUCACUCUCGAAUUUGCAUUCAGCAACGCUGAUGAAUAAAUAUUCAGCAUGCAGCUCAUUGAAACGUUCUCCCAGUGUGAACCGGUAGUGUGUGAGGAGGACAAGACCAGAACAUAUGUGUCAAGGAAGCUACCUCGGAAUUACAUCCAUCAGAAACAGGAUUUAAUGGCAGUAAAAAUGAGCAAACUUAUCCUUGGACAUAUGAGCCCGAUGAACCACCUUAAAUUGCAUG